CCGCUGGCCCAAAAAGAACAUCGCAUCGGCGUGGAGCGGGUGGCGCGGCGGAGCCGGCGGCCGGCAGCGAGCCGGCAGCAACGUCGAGGCGCGUAAACCCUAAUCCACUGGGAAGUUUGUUCCCCUCGCCGCUACCGUUAUCGAUCUCUGCCCGAAGACACCGAACGGCGCAGGCGCAGGCGAGGGGCGGCCGCGGCCGGCGGCUCGUGAUCUGCCGACCGCGCAGAUACUGACAUGGACAUGUGGCCUCGGCGCCGACAGAUCGAGGUGAUCAAUGGAUCGAGAUCCAGGCACUCAUGACGGAAUACACAGCAUGCAAUGGUGAGCCCAAUCGAAUGGUAGCUCGAUCGACAAGCAGAAUCCAAGAAGCAAAAAGAUUCUUGGCUUGGCUGGUGCUCCUUGUCACGCAGCUUCGGCGAAGCCACGGCCACAGCCCUGCCAGCAAGUAAACAGGUGCAGGGCCAUUUGCAAUUAUAGCUAUAAAAGUAGACCUGGCCUCGUCUCCCUCUUUGCACCGGCACAGUUGUGUUCCUCUUCCUCCCCCUAAGGUUACAAGAUGGGGGUCGUCAAGGUGCGCACUGGAGAAGGGAGCUCAGUAUCUAUGGCAUGGAAUUAAAGAUCUGAGCUAUAUACCAGGUUUUGCAUUUGGGGGCAGCAAGCUAGAGGCAGCAACUGCAUAACUUGCGAGAAACUUGUUGGAUGGUGGCCAUGCCAAUGAUUUUGCCGCAAGUUAUGCAUUUGCUGCCUCAAGCUUGCUGCCUUCAUGUGCUGAACCAGUGGGAAUAAGAUGAAGAAAGUUAAACUACAGAUCUUCCAUGACCAUGUAUCUUAGGUUUAACAUGCAUGAGAGACACCAAAGGGAAGCAGUAAUGCUAGAAGGCUGUGUAAAAUCCGUCAUGCACUUUGCGCAAGCUAAAAAGCUGCCAAUGUACGAUUGUUAAGCUGUUUUCCAUUGUUGUGAAUUCGUGUUUUUGCUGUGUUUUACAUUAGCCAAUCUGAUUUUGUGCCAUAGGAGCAAAAGGCACAGAUGAUGAAAUCGCAUAUCUUGGCGAUGCAGUGAUUGAUCCGUGUAUUGACUCCUGGUCAAAACAUUAAGUGACGUCCUAGACGUGGAUGACUGAAAUUAUUCUAGUGCCCUUUA